UAAUACGGAGGGUGCAAGCGUUAAUCGGAAUCACUGGGCGUAAAGCGCACGUAGGCGGUCUGGUGUGUCAGGUGUGAAAUCCCCCGGCUUAACCGUGGAAUUGCACUUGAAACUACCGGACUUGAGUAUCGGAGAGGGUGGCGGAAUUCCAGGUGUAGGAGUGAAAUCCGUAGAUAUCUGGAGGAACACCAGUGGCGAAGGCGGCCACCUGGACGACUACUGACGCUGAGGUGCGAAAGCGUGGGGAGCAAACAGG
rnacentral:rRNA from 1 species